rnacentral:rRNA from 1 species
AGAGUUUGAUCCUGGCUCAGAUUGAACGCUGGCGGCAUGCCUUACACAUGCAAGUCGAACGGCAGCACGGGGGCAACCCUGGUGGCGAGUGGCGAACGGGUGAGUAAUACAUCGGAACGUGUCCUGUAGUGGGGGAUAGCCCGGCGAAAGCCGGAUUAAUACCGCAUACGCUCUACGGAGGAAAGGGGGGGAUCGCAAGACCUCCCGCUACAGGGGCGGCCGAUGGCAGAUUAGCUAGUUGGUGGGGUAAAGGCCUACCAAGGCGACGAUCUGUAGCUGGUCUGAGAGGACGACCAGCCACACUGGGACUGAGACACGGCCCAGACUCCUACGGGAGGCAGCAGUGGGGAAUUUUGGACAAUGGGCGAAAGCCUGAUCCAGCAAUGCCGCGUGUGUGAAGAAGGCCUUCGGGUUGUAAAGCACUUUUGUCCGGAAAGAAAACCAUCUGGUUAAUACCCGGGUGGGAUGACGGUACCGGAAGAAUAAGCACCGGCUAACUACGUGCCAGCAGCCGCGGUAAUACGUAGGGUGCAAGCGUUAAUCGGAAUUACUGGGCGUAAAGCGUGCGCAGGCGGUCCGCUAAGACAGAUGUGAAAUCCCCGGGCUUAACCUGGGAACUGCAUUUGUGACUGGCGGGCUAGAGUAUGGCAGAGGGGGGUAGAAUUCCACGUAGCAGUGAAAUGCGUAGAGAUGUGGAGGAAUACCGAUGGCGAAGGCAGCCCCCUGGGCCAAUACUGACGCUCAUGCACGAAAGCGUGGGGAGCAAACAGGAUUAGAUACCCUAGUAGUCC